rnacentral:rRNA from 1 species
UAAGUAAGACGUGAAAUCGUACGGCUCAACCGUAUACACAUAUUUGAACUGACAAGCUAGAGUAUAUGAGAGGUCACUGAAAUUUCUAGUGUAGGAGUGAAAUCCGUAGAUAUUAGAAGGAACACCGAUGGCGUAGGCAGGUGACUGGCAUAUUACUGACGCUAAGGCACGAAAGCGUGGGGAGCGAACCGGAUUAGAUACCCGGGUAGUCCACGCCGUAAACUAUGGAUGCUA